rnacentral:rRNA from 1 species
UACGGAAGGCAGCAGUGGGGAAUAUUGCACAAUGGGCGCAAGCCUGAUGCAGCCAUGCCGCGUGUAUGAAGAAGGCCUUCGGGUUGUAAAGUACUUUCAGUCGUGAGGAAGGUGUUAAGGUUAAUAACCUUAGCAAUUGACGUUAGCGACAGAAGAAGCACCGGCUAACUCCGUGCCAGCAGCCGCGGUAAUACGGAGGGUGCGAGCGUUAAUCGGAAUUACUGGGCGUAAAGGGCACGCAGGCGGUUAAUUAAGUUGGAUGUGAAAUCCCCGGGGCUUAACCUGGGAAUGGCAUUCAAGACUGGUUAGCUAGAGUCUUGUAGAGGGGGUUAGAAUUCCAUGUGUAGCGGUGAAACUGCGUAGAGAUGUGGAGGAAUACCGGUGGCGAAGGCGGCCCCUGGACAAAGACCUGACGCUCAUGUGCGAAAGCUGGGGAGCAAAC